rnacentral:rRNA from 1 species
GGAACCUGACGGAGCGAUGCCGCGUGAGUGAAGAAGGUCUUCGGAUUGUAAAGCUCUGUUCUUGGGGACGAAUAAUAUGGGGAGGGAAUGCCCCAUGCGUGACGGUACCUUAUGAGAAAGCCCCGGCUAACUACGUGCCAGCAGCCGCGGUAAU